UUUGGGGAUGCUGCAACCACCAGAAUUUUGAGGCCUGACUGUAAAUAUUUAUUUAGUGCCAUUGCAACUUUGAAUGGUUGCUGAAUGAGUGGUUAUUAAAUGAGAACCACCUGGUCUAUCUCAGUAGGAAGAGGAAAAGAAGGGGCGGGGGAAAGGAAAAAGGGACAUUUGAGAAAGAUGGUUGGAUAAUAACAGAGUGGCCAGUUUAACGGUGUGGACAUAGUACCACUACUUUACAACAAAACAGUCUAAUGAAAUUCUAAUAAAGGAAGUACCAAAAUGUAAA